rnacentral:lncRNA from 1 species
UCUCCAAAAAAAUACAUACACAUAUAAUCUUGCAUAUCAUUUCCAGGUGCUCACAGAUUCCCUAAAAGAUCUAUGAGAAACUAUGUCCAGAUUCCAGGUACCCAUGGGUUCCAGAUUAAGGACUCCUGAUCUAGAAUAUAUCCAGGCCAACAAGCAUCAGAGGUGUUCUGGAAGUGAGGUUCAUCCUGAACCUCAUACUGAGCUGUCUGUCCCUAGACAAUAAAUAUCACAUUUCAAAGUAAGAGGCAAGGAAGGCCACCAGUCAGAAUAUGCAUGGGACUUGCUUAAGAAUUGAUAUUUAACCCUUUGCUAACUACCCACCCUCAGCUUACAAAGAACUAGGGGGACUGAAAACAAGACACAGAAGACUGUGAAAUCCAGGAGAGCUGGUUUAGUCCUGGCUGCAACCCAUCUAACAAUGGGAACUUUAGGCAAGCCCUUUAACCUCUCUGAAGCUUGUUUUUCUAUUAUGUAAAAUAGAUACAAUAAUGCCUACCUCAAUGUGAGGCAGUGAAGUGCU